rnacentral:rRNA from 1 species
AUCGAACGCUGGCGGCAGGCCUAACACAUGCAAGUCGAGCGAGCGGCGGACGGGUGAGUAAUGUCUGGGAGCCUGCCUGCUGGAGGGGGAUAACUACUGGAAACGGUAGCUAAUACGGCCUACCAUCAGAUGUGCCCAGAUGGGAUUAGCUAGUAGGUGGGGUAACGGCCCACCUAGGCGACGAUCCCUACCUGACCGGCGAGGAUGACCAGCCACACGGGAACUGAGACACGGUCCAGCCUCCUGCGGGAGGCAGAAGUGGGGAAUGUUGCACAAUGGGCGAAAGCCUGAGGCAGCAAUGCCGCGUGGAUGAAGAAGGCCUUCGGGUUGUAAAGUACUUUCAUCGGGGAGGCGUUACCCGAAGAAAAAGCCCCGGCUAACUCCGUGCCAGCAGCCGCGGUAAUUC